rnacentral:rRNA from 1 species
CACGCCGUAAACGAUGAUGACUAACUAUUGCCGUGAGGCAGUGGUGAAGCUAACGCAUUAAGUCAUCCGCCUGGGAAGUACGGUCGCAAGACUGAAACUUAAAGGAAUUGACGGGACCCCGCACAAGCAGUGGAGCAUGUGGUUUAAUUCGACGCUACGCGGAAAACCUUACCAGAACUUGACAUGGCGAGUAAGGCCCUAGAAAUAGGGAGAUAAUAUUCGCACACAGGUGG